UACGAAAGGGGGCUAGCGUUGUUCGGAAUUACUGGGCGUAAAGCGCGCGCAGGCGGUCUUCCAAGUCAGUGGUGAAAGCCCGGAGCUCAACUCCGGAACUGCCAUUGAAACUGUUAGACUUGAGGAUGAGAGAGGUGAGUGGAAUUCCCAGUGUAGAGGUGAAAUUCGUAGAUAUUGGGAAGAACACCGGUGGCGAAGGCGGCGACCUGGACGGACACUGACGCUGAGACGCGAAAGCGUGGGGAGCAAACAGG
rnacentral:rRNA from 1 species